AUAGAGUAAGUGCCAAGUAGAAAGCAUGAGAUAAUAACUCUAGUGGGAGUAGAGUUGAUUGGACAACUAGAUUGUCAGGUAGAUCGAGUGGCAUCAACCUAGUGUUAAAGAACAUAGAUUGAACAAGUGAACCUAGAGUCGAGCAAUCUAGGUGUGUGGCAUCGAACCUAGUGUUAGUAAACCUAGGUCGAACUAGUAAACCUAGAAGUGGACAUCUAGGCAAAGGGGACAAAAACUUAGCAGGUGUAUCUAGGUUAAGUGACGUGGACAUAGAACCUAGAGUAUUAGAAUCUAGGUUGAUGAGUAUAGUGGUAUAGCCACUAGGAUGAGAUAGGUCGAAAGUAUAGGGUUGGGUAUGGACACUCGAUCUGUGGAAAGUGGAUUCUGGAAUCCCAGGACUUGUGAUGACAAUGAUAUAAUAAUGUGAUUGUAAUUUGGAAGUAAAUGUAAACUGAAAUUGAGAUGUAUUAAGUGAGUGAAUGCUUGUAAUAGCAGUAGUUUAUGUAUUUGAUACUUCCUUUGCAAUCUGGAUUGAUAUCCGUUCCUAGUUGGAACAUUCGUUGAUUGUUUGGAUUGCGACGCCUAGAACGUACAGGGGAGACUCUGUCCGCGUACAGGAAAAACCCCGGUCCGUUCGGCGGUCUGUCGUCGGCGUCGCGACCCGGUCCAAAUUGGCGGUUGGUUGCCGGGCGUGACAGAUAAAGCGGUUUCAGAGUAUAAAGUAGAAAAUGGGAAGGAAAUGGUUUAGACAGACCUAGGAGACCCUAGGAUAGUGAAACCAUAGGGGAAUAAGGCUCGUGAGAGACGAGGACUUGUGAUUUGUGGUGAAAGGGUAAUGGAUUGGGUCGUGUCAUAACCUCUAAGACGGACAUUAGAGGUAGACUCAAGGUAUGGUUUAUUCUCGACCAAGUAUAUUUAUGUUGGGCGCGUACAACAUAAAGUCGAGAGACGAGAAUAGACGUCCUUGUUUGACUUUCGCCUGAUUGGCUUUUGAGCCGUAUUAGUGGUCUCGUGUUCGACCCAAGUUGGUUGAGAGUUAAUCGAGUUGUCCUGUUUCAGGAAACGAUGGCACCGCGUAGGCGAUCUUCAUCCAGAUCGGCGCGGGAGGGGACGAGUGGUGCCCCUGAGCAAACCGACGUGAGCGGAGAUGCGGAGCUUCGUGAUCAGUUGGCCACACUCGUAGGAGUGGUGAGGCAACAGGCUGAUGUGGUGCAGCGGCAGCAGGAGGCCGCCAUGCGCCAAGAGGAGCAAAUGAAAAUACUCCAGGAGACGCUAGAUCAGCUGGUGGCUGUACCAGCUGCGGCUGGUCAAAGACAGUCGGGAGUUGCGGCGGAGCUGUUCCCGUCGGGGUCAGGCGACCCGACUUAUUAAUCCAGAGGUAGCGGCGGAGAGGGAGCGAGCUUUGGCUGCCCUCAUGGCUUUCAAGAAAUUUGAUCCGCCUACAUUCGAUGGAGAAGAUACGGAUCCGUGGGUCGUUGAGAUGUGGAUUGAUUCAAUGGAAACACUCUUCGAGGAUCUGUACACGUUGGAGCGAGACAAGGUAAACCUAGCCGUGCAUUAUCUCAAACAGUCGGCGAAGGUGUGGCGGAAAGGCGUCAAGCGAGAUCGACCGCCUAGUCUCCCUCCUAUGACUUGGGAAGAGUUUCGGGGAUUGGUAUUCUCUGCUUAUUUCCCCGAUAGUGAAAAGCGAAAGCUCAAGGAAAGAUUCCUUAAGCUGCGGCAAGGAAGUCGCACGGUCAGACAAUACGAGCGGGAGUUUUCCCGUAUCGUGCAUUGUAUCCCGAACGUGGUGCGGGAUGACAAGGACAAGGCCGACUGCUUCGUGCGUGGACUUCGGUCAGAUCUUUACCAGGCAGUGCUGGUGCUCAAGUUGCAGACUUUUGCUGAAGUCCUGGAUCAGGCCUUGUGGAUAGAGCAAGGCAAUGAGUUCCUGCGGGAGAAGCGCGAGGAGCAUUACAAAGAAAAAGGGAAAGGACGGCCAGUAAGUGGACAUGAUGGUCAGUCAAGUUCCCAGCAGACCUCUGUGAAGUCACGCUCUCGAUCUCGAGCUCCGGGGACGUAUCACAUUCGGUCCUCGGCGAGAUGUGUGAUUUGUGGGGGCCCUCAUUUCCCACAGCAGUGUGAACAGCGAGAGGGCAAGUGCUUUAAUUGUGGGCUGCCGGGCCAUGUGCGGGAUGAGUGUCCGCAAGGUGAUAGCUGGGCCUUGGCACUGACGACGGCCUAUACCUCUUUGGGACAGCCGACGGGUGUGCCACCUGCGGCAUGGUCGGGCGAGCAACCAUUGAGGGUGUUGCAACGAGAGGGUUCGCGACGAGCGCCGAGUGGCCAUAGAUAAGCUACCCGAGUUGCGGUGCCUGCCGUUGUCGACGUCGUCAUGGCAGGUACGAGUUAAUAGAGCAAUCGUAUGCUUUCACAUGAUCUCAAGUUGAUGCAUAGCAUGCAUUCAUCGUUGGUCAAUUGUUACUAUUAUUGCAUUGUAUAGUAGGGACCGAGUGGUCGGGUUGGUAGGUACCCGAGCAUGCUUGCAGGACGAGGGUAUAGCGCCUGCUAGAGCAGGUAGGAAGCCAAGUGACACUAGCGAAUGGCUGGUGAUGGUUCUUGGAUGAGAAAUAGGGCUCGUGGUGAACGUGGUUUAGUAAGUGACUCUCGAGGCAAUGGAUUAGAGAUUGUGAGAGUUGAGCCUUGAUGUUCGAGAAUACCCAAGUACUCCAAGAGUAUGUCGGAUACGGAUUCGAUAGAUCGAAUGAUGGUGAUGAACCACUGUUGCGAAAUUGGUUGAUUAGCGCCGAGCUUGGCCUGUGGGCCUAGUAGUACCUCGAAUCGAGGUGGACAAGUUGUUGCUCGUGUGGCCGGUGUGUAUAUGCUAAGUUGCCUGAUGCUAGACUUCGUGCGAGACGCUAUAGAGGCAUAGAGCGCUCGAGUAAAGUUACUCGUGAGGUGCGGUAUUGAUUCAGCCGGUCGAGUGAAUUAGCAGUAGCACUUUAGCAUGGCUAAGUGUGAAGCGGGCCAUGGACCACUCGUGAGGGCUGGUGGCUCGCACUAGGUGCUUAGGAGCCGAUAGAGUGUGUAGCUCUGUAGAGCAUGUCGUGUAGGAUAACGUUGGUAGGUGGUGCUUGGGGACGACCCGUGCCUGGACCAUUUGUGGAUUGUAGAGCCUGGGCCCAUUAGGCAGGCGCAGUCAGCUGUGAGAGACAGCGGCCUGAUACCUAUAGGUAGGGCGGAGAAUUUGGUCAGGACGGUAGUCCGAGUUUGGACCCGAGUACGUGGAAUGCCACGUGUUGGAUCGUGAGAUCGUUAAUGCACCGAGUGUGUAGCAACCCGACCCGUAGACUUAACGAGGUUUGGGGACUUGGAUGCUCCUGUUUGGAGUGUGUGCGAAUUCUCUAAUGAGAAUGUCGCCCAAGAAUGUUGAUUGGGUCUACGCUUACGAGCGAGAGACGCUAGGCGCUAUUGAGACGAGUUAGGCGAUUGACCUAUGAAGGAUCAGUGGCCUUUUGAUCCACUUGAGGAAACCGAUGACUGGUACAGCCGAAAACUCUAUUAAUGAGUUGGGCUUAGAUCCGCGAACGGAGGAUUCGUGUGAUAUUGGACAUGGCUUGUGGUAUCAAAGGAUAAAGGAAAGUAAAGUGGUCUCUAGGAGACACUUGAAUGAUGAAUAGCCACGUGAAAAGUUGGAGUUGAGAAUGAUGCUCACAAGAAGAUCGAGAACCUAAGAUGCACGAGAGAAUGCCAUCUCGUGAGAGAUGAGAAUGAGAUGAUAUGGAUAAGAUGAUAAGGUGGUAUCGGGCUCUCAAAUAGCCAAAGUAGUGAAGUGCCACCUGAGGAGUAUUUGAGUAAGUCGAGAGGGUCUACCCGUGCACAUAGAGUUGUGGUGGUGGAUCAUUCAUCGAGUUGAUGCGAUCUUGCUGGAUCCACACCACUAGGACAAAGAGGGUAGACCUGAUCUCGAGGGAUGGUGAUGAUGUUCGCUAGAACCGCGAAGGAAUAGGUCCUUCAUUAGCCGAGUGGCUAGUGAUGUUAGUGUGUGGGGUCUUGAAUAUUGACCCACACUACCAUUGAGGUUUGUAAAGUGAUAAUGCACUUUCGAUGUUACAAGUAGAAAAUGUGAGUAAACGUGGUCUCACAUUCUUUGUAGUUGGCCUUUAGACGAGUUCGAUGAGAAUAAAGGCCGCUCCGAGGUGCAAAAGUGCAUUGAAACCCUUGAGUACUCGAGAAGUAGAUCGAGGAAUAAAGAGGGGUUAGAAAUGAGUAAGUUUCGAGGACGAAACUCUUUUAAGAGGGGGAGAAUGUCAUACCAUGAAUCCUCCAAAUUCGAGAGUUGCGCCUCGUCCAGGAUCGACUAAUGGUCGAAUGGAUAAGUUUUGGAAAAGCUAAGGAUGCACGAAAAUCGAGAAGUGCAUUGGGAUGGAGUCCGCGAGAGCAAAUAAUGCAAUCUGCAUUUUUGGGCUGAGGUUGCUCUCCGGGACCGGUCUCUAGAGGUGAGAGACCGGUCCUAUAAGCUGAAGGCUGCGGGGUUGCUGAUGCAACCGGUCCCUGGCAUAGGAGGGACCGGUCCCAGCCUGCGACACCAGUGAGAAGAGCCAAAAAUUGGCUAAGUCCCGCGAGAUGAGCUCUCGGGGACCGGUCUCUCCGAGAGGAACCGGUCUCCGGGGGACCGGUCUCGCAGGGAGAGACCGAUUCCCGAACGCGUGCCCGCGGGGGGAAGCCCCGGGGACCGGUCCCAGGUCGGGGAGAUCGGUCCCUCCGCGCGCAGCAUGCCCAGUAAGGGCUGUGUAAGAGAUGGAAAGUGGAGGGGCUUAUGUGCAAAAUGGCCAUAUGAGGGGUUAUUUGAGAGAGACCUUUCUCUCUCUCUCUCUCUGUCUCACACCCUCACACUCUCCCUCACUGUCUCUCUCCCUCUCUCUCUCUGUUCGUAGCAGAGGAAAAAGGAAAGGAAGAGAAGAGAGGAAGGAAAAGAAGAAAAAGAGAAAAGGGAAGGAGAAGAAGAAGAGGAUCAAGGAGAAGACUCUUCCUCAUCUUCAUCUUCAUAUUCUUCUUCCCCUUGGAGCUCAUUGAGAGGUAAGCUUUGUGCCCUCUCAUGGUAGAUUUCUUGGGAAUAGGUUUUAAACCCUAGAAAUGGUUAGAAUGGAACCCUAGCAUGCUAUUUUGAUGGAUUUUCCCUAUUUCAUAGAUCGAUUUGGUGGAUUUGCUAGUGAUGGCAUUCUAGGGCAUCCAAGUGGGGUUUUUGUAAAUAGAUGAGUUUGAUCUCAUUUGACCCUUCGUAAACCUAAUUGGUAGGUAACGAAACACGUUGGCGAAGUCGGUUCAGCAAUCCGACAAGCCGUUGCAAAGAUAUCGAAGAAACAGGCGCUCGGAGCUUCGUUUCUGCCUGGGAGGCCGAUGCGACGUCCAUAAAUCGUGAAAUCGGGUUCCGAGCACCGUAGCAGCAAGGCAAAGAUCAUUAGCACUUGAAACGGCGAAGCGGCGCGCUCUUGGAGAGCAACUAUGAGAUCGGGCCCAAACGAGUGCCGAGUGCCGCGGGAGGCCGAUUGCAAGUGUCGACAAGCAAUCAGAAAGCUAACUAAGGUGGGUUGUGCUUACCGAAGCGACUAGGUCGCCCUUUAUGUCUUAGCAAUGUAAUCUCAUGUUGAUGCAUGUGUAUGUAGACAAGACUGAUCGGUGCAUUAAUAAAUAUGCAUAAAGUAAAGGCUAAGUAAAGAAUGCUAGCUAACAAUGAUGCAUGAUGUAAAGUAAAUGCAUGAUGAGCAUGAUAAAUAAAUAAUGCAAGCAAGUAAUUGGAAUGCAUGAUGAUAAUAAUGCAUAGUAUAAAUGCAUGUUAAAUAAUGAUGCAUAGAGCCAUACUAGUAAAUGUUAAGUAGAGAGCAUGAUUAAUAUAAGAUGCAAAUGCUAAAUGGAAAGCAUGCUAAGCAAUUAAUGCUAGUUAACGUAAAGAAUGCAUAUACUAAUUAUGCAUAGAUGGAAAUGCUAAGUAGAGAGCAUAAUGAUCAUAGCACGUAUAUAAUGCUAGUUAAAGUAGAGAAUGCAAAGUAGCAUCACGAGAGCUAAGUAAGUGACAUGAUAACUCUAGUGUAAAUAGAGUUAGUUGGACAACUAGGUUGUCAGAUAGAUCGAGUGGCAUCUAACCUAGUGUUAAAGAACAUAGGUUAAACAAGUGAACCUAAAGUCGAACAAUCUAGGUGUGUGACAUUGAACCUAGUGUUAGUAAAUCUAGGUCGAACUAGUAAACCUAGAAGUGGACAUCUAGGCAAAGAUGACAAGAACCUAGCAAGUGUAUCUAGGUUAAGUGA
rnacentral:lncRNA from 1 species